AAAUUUAGUUGGGCAUGAUAACCAAAGUCUACCCACCUCCUGGCAGAGAUGGAGCCAGAGCUGGGAAGAGUAGUCCCCCAGAAGACGCCAGACAAAUGAAAGCGCAAAAGGAGAUGGCUACUCCCAAGGGCAGAAGAAGAGAGGAGCAAGGAGGUAUGCAGGUUGCUGACCUUCGUGCAGAAGAAGCCAGGAGAAGAGCAUGAUUUGCAGAGCUUCAGUUCAUUGCUGAAAGAGAGAUUGUUGUUGUAAUUUCUAUUAAGUACUUUGGAGGAGCUCCCAUAUGAGGAUGAUGAGAACCAUAUUUACCUACAGCAUCCCAGGCAUGCUCAAGAGGAUAGAAGCAACCCUAGAAUCCGCAGAGUAUUCGGAGCAUGUUCUCUAUUUAAUCAAUAUGAUGCUACUACCUAGAGACACAAGCAAGAUGGAGUCCAUUCUUCCACAACAGCCUUGGAGAGAUUUGGGUGGGGGGCAAGAAGAGAAGGAGAAAGAUGGCUUUGUGUGCCUUUUCCUUUCAAUUGCUGAUUAAAUUCACUCAAUUAGAUCCCUACAUAUAUACCUCUCUCAAUGAAGAAUAAGCUAAUAACUAGUGAUGGGCAAUCAGUUUGGAUUUUUUAAGGUGCAUGCUUGUAUUGGAGGGUGUAAAUGAAAAAGAAGUACAAAAAUGCUUAUAGCAGAAUCAUUGGCUAGGCAAAAGCCUUACUAUGUUUCAUAGCCUUUUUGUGCAUCAUUUGCCAUCCUGCAAAUAAAAUAAGA